rnacentral:ncRNA from 2 species
UAAUAUCUUCGGGGCGAGGUGAAAGUCCUCACCGGCGGUAAAGUCCGCGAGAGUUUUAUACUCCGAUUCGGUGCAAUUCCGAAACCGACAGUAGAGUCUGGAUGAAAGAAGAUUGCU